CAAGUCGAACGAGACCUUCGGGUCUAGUGGCGCACGGGUGCGUAACGCGUGGGAAUCUGCCCUUAGGUACGGGAUAACACAGGGAAACUUGUGCUAAUACCGUAUGAUGACGAAAGUCCAAAGAUUUAUCGCCUAAGGAUGAGCCCGCGUAGGAUUAGCUUGUUGGUGAGGUAAAGGCUCACCAAGGCGACGAUCCUUAGCUGGUCUGAGGGGAUGAUCAGCCACACUGGGACUGAGACACGGCCCAGACUCCUACGGGAGGCAGCAGUGGGGAAUAUUGGACAAUGGGCGAAAGCCUGAUCCAGCAAUGCCGCGUGAGUGAUGAAGGCCCUAGGGUUGUAAAGCUCUUUUACCCGGGAAGAUAAUGACUGUACCGGGAGAAUAAGCCCCGGCUAACUCCGUGCCAGCAGCCGCGGUAAUACGGAGGGGGCUAGCGUUGUUCGGAAUUACUGGGCGUAAAGCGCUCGCAGGCGGCUCGAUGCGUCGUGCGUGAAACACCCCGGCUCAACUGGGGAGGGUCGUGCGAUACGGUCGGGCUUGAGGCCAGUAGGGGGAUGCGGAAUUCCGGGUGUAGUGGUGGAAUGCGUAGAGAUCCGGAGGAACACCGGCGGCGAAGGCGGCAUCCUGGACUGGUACUGACGCUCAGGAGCGAAAGCGUGGGGAGCGAUCCGGAUUAGAUACCCGGGUAGUCCACGCUGUAAACGAUGAGAACUAGGUGUCGGGGGUAUCGACCCCCUCGGUGCCGAAGCUAACGCGAUAAGUUCUCCGCCU
rnacentral:rRNA from 1 species